rnacentral:lncRNA from 1 species
GGGUCAGAAAAUAGUCAACCCAAAUCCGAUCUGUUUAUUAAACGGAUUAAAAAUUCAAAUCUGAACCCAACCUGUUUAUUAAACAGGUAAUCCGAUCCGACCCAUUUAACCCAUUUAUUAAAUAGAUCAAAUUAGGUUAAACGGGUUAAACAGGUUAAUCGGGUUAAACGAGUCAAGUUAAAUGGAUCAGAAACAGGUUAAACAUAUUUUAAACAGGUU